GGACUUGUAGCUCAGCAGGUAGAGCGCGCGGCUUUUAACCGCGUGGUCGUGGGUUCAAUCCCCACCAGGUUCAUCA
rnacentral:tRNA from 1 species